rnacentral:rRNA from 1 species
AACGAACGCUGGCGGCAGGCCUAACACAUGCAAGUCGAGCGAAGCCUUCGGACUUAGCGGCGGACGGGUGAGUAACGCGUGGGAACGUGCCCUUUGCUACGGAAUAGCCCCGGGAAACUGGGAGUAAUACCGUAUGUGCCCUUCGGGGGAAAGAUUUAUCGGCAAAGGAUCGGCCCGCGUUGGAUUAGGUAGUUGGUGGGGUAAUGGCCUACCAAGCCGACGAUCCAUAGCUGGUUUGAGAGGAUGAUCAGCCACACUGGGACUGAGACACGGCCCAGACUCCUACGGGAGGCAGCAGUGGGGAAUCUUAGACAAUGGGCGGAAGCCUGAUCUAGCCAUGCCGCGUGAUCGAUGAAGGCCUUAGGGUUGUAAAGAUCUUUCAGGUGGGAAGAUAAUGACUGUACCACCAGAAGAAGCCCCGGCUAACUCCGUGCCAGCAGCCGCUGUAACAC